AUUGAACGCUGGCGGCAUGCCUAACACAUGCAAGUCGAACGCGAAAGGUCCUUCGGGACCGAGUAGAGUGGCGGACGGGUGAGUAACGCGUGGGAAUCUGCCCAGUAGUGGGGGAUAACUCGGGGAAACCCGAGCUAAUACCGCAUACGCCCCAAGGGGGAAAGGCUUCGGCCGCUAUUGGAUGAGCCCGCGUCAGAUUAGCUAGUUGGUGGGGUAAUGGCCCACCAAGGCGACGAUCUGUAGCUGGUCUGAGAGGACGAACAGCCACACUGGGACUGAGACACGGCCCAGACUCCUACGGGAGGCAGCAGUGGGGAAUAUUGGACAAUGGGCGAAAGCCUGAUCCAGCAAUGCCGCGUGUGUGAAGAAGGCCUGCGGGUUGUAAAGCACUUUCAGUUGGGAAGAUGAUGACGUUACCAACAGAAGAAGCACCGGCUAACUCCGUG
rnacentral:rRNA from 1 species